CUGAACCAUGGCGGGCGGCGGCAUGGGGGCGGUGGGGCUCCGCGGGCAGCCUGGUUGCGCUGCACCCGGACGGGGCCGAGGGGACCUGAAAGCUGCGGCAGAGCCUGACCGCGCCGUUCUCCAGAAGAGCCCCGGCCGCGGCUGAGUCGCGCUCCGGGUGUGGACGGAGCCGGAGCCUCCCCGGGGCUCGGUGAGGACACAGGGCCCAAGCCCCGGACCUUCAAGUCUUGACCGAGCGCAUCCCCGGCCCUUCUGCGCCCACACCUGAGUUUUUGUCUGUAGGAGUUUCCGCAGUUUGCUAAGAAUCGACAUCUAGAGGAGUACUCACCACUUAAUUGAUGAUCAAUACACGUUCCUUGAAAGAACCGAUAGCAUGCGAUCGAUACAGAGCAUCUGCACUGGGAUUGUCCGCCCCGCCUGUCAGGGAGGCCUCGGGGGCUAAUGGAGCUGAGGGUAUAGUCGGCCUUGGACCCUCGCUUUUUUCCUUUCCUGUACUAUGAAGAUAACUGCCUUAUCUCCCCCUCAGGACUGUUUUGGGGAUUAAAUAGGACGUUUAAAUUACCAACGCUCUUUGAAAUAAACAUUUCAAAAUUAUUAUAACCCUUUAGUACAUGUGGGAAAACGUUGACAUUCAUGUUCAAGUUUAUUUUUCUGCUGGCUCAUUUAGGUUUGUUGAAGCCUUGAGUCCCUAGGAUUGUCUAAGAACAUGGGUAAAUGUGUGUGGAGGCCUCCCUGGAGGCCAGAGAACUGCCAGCAGCCUUCAUGAUGUUAGGGGAACAGGAACCUAGGAGAGCCAGGGUGACAUCGUUUUAAAAUCAACAACCCAUCUUGGCGGGCGCGGUGGCUCAAGCCUGUAAUCCCAGCAGUUUGGGAGAAAAAAAUUAGCCGGGUGUGGUGGUGGGCACCUGUAAUCUCAGCUACUCAGGAGGCUGAAGCAGAAUUGCUUGAACCCAGGAGGCAGAGGUUGCAGUGAGCUGAGAUCACGCCAUGGCACUCUAGCCUGGGCAACAAGAAUGAAACUCUGUCUCAAAAAAAUAAAAAUAAAAUAAAAUAAACUCCAUCUUAAAACCAGUGAAACCACCAUUGCAAAAUUAUAACUGAGACAGUGAGAGAUCUGACCUAACCAACUCCAUCCUACUUUUAACCUCCAAACUGUCCUUGUUCAUUCCUGGGUGUAGGCCAAACUAACUUUGGAAGAAACUUAGUUUAUGGUUUCCCGAAACAAAUCCUUUUCUUGUCUGGAGACUAGACUGCCUUUGUAGGACUAACAAAUUAGCCACAAGAUUAGAAAUUAUGGUUUAGAAUUCAUGCAGCUGGAGAUUACAAGAUUCUGACCCUCCCUAAAUUGCUCCUGGGGAUAACAUCACUAUUGAAAAACCUAACAACAGUGCUUGAGAUAUUUUGCAGACCUUGCACUUGCUGAAUUAGCUGGGACCAUCCAGAUGGAUAAACUGGCUCAUCUGAUCUUGUGGCCCGCACUCAGCAACCGGCUCAGGCCAAGAGGACAGCUUUGAUCCAUACGAUUUCAUCUCUGAUCUGACCCCUCAGUGCUCCCAGCUUACUGGCCCCCUACCUACCAAAUUAUCCUUAAAAACUCUGAACUCCAGGGCUGGGCACGGUGGCUCACACCUGUAAUCCCAGGACUCUGGGAGGCCGAGGCAGGCGGAUCACUUGAGGUCAGAAGUUCAAGACCAGCCUGGCCAACAUGGCAAAACCCCGUCUCUACUAAAAAUACAAAAAUUAGCCAGGCGUGGUGGUGCACGCCUGUAAUGCCAACUACUUGGGAGCCUGAGGCAGGAGAAUUGCUUGAACCCUGAAGGCGGAGGUUGCAGUGUGCUGAAAUCGCACCACUGCACUCCAGCCUGGGCAACAGAGCAAGACUCCAUCUCAAAAACAACAGCAAAAACUCUGAACUCCGAAUUCUUGGGGAAAUUGAUUUGAGUAAUAAUAAAACUCUGGUCUCCCGCACAGCCAGCUCUGUGUGGAUUAUUCUUUCUCUAUGCAGUUCACCUGUUUGGAUAAAUCAGCUCUGUGUAGGCAACAUGAACCUGAUUGGCAGUUACAGUAGCCUGUAAUCCCAGCUACGUGGGAGGCUGAG
rnacentral:lncRNA from 1 species